GGCAAGGUAGCUCAGUCGGUCAGAGCGCGGCACUCAUAACGCCGAGGUCGAGGGUUCGAUCCCCUCCCUUGCUACUA
rnacentral:tRNA from 1 species